AUUUUCCCGUUUGUGUAUUUAUAUCAACUUUUUCAAGGUUGUCUUGUUGUCCACUACUUAAAGGAACCCGAACCUUCCACAAGUACGUGUUGUUUAUCUGCCACUCCUAGAUUUCAGAAGACAGAAGAUCAUCACAUUUUUUUGCUAAAAAACAUGGGUCGCUCAAGUCGUACACUCUAUGUGGGUAAUCUUCCUGGUGAUAUUCGCGAAAGAGAAAUUGAAGAUCUGUUUUACAAGUAUGGACCCAUUGUUGAAAUCGACCUGAAAAUUCCUCCUAGACCCCCUGUUUUUGCCUUUGUAGAGUUUGAAGAUCCGCGUGAUGCUGAAGAUGCGAUCCGUGGACGUGAUGGCUAUAAGUUUGAUGGUCAACGCUUACGAGUUGAACUUGCACAUGGUGGGAGAUCUUCAUCUUCCAUAGAUCGCCACAGAAGUGGAGGUGGUAGCCAUGGGGGAGUAUCAAGGCGCACUGACUAUCGUGUUUAUGUGACUGGAUUACCAUCUUCUGCUUCAUGGCAAGAUCUGAAGGAUCACAUGCGUAGAGCUGGUGAUGUUUGUUUCUCUCAAGUUUUCCGUGAUCGUGAUGGAAUGAGGGGGAUUGUGGACUAUACAAACUAUGAUGAUAUGAAAUAUGCGGUAAGGAAACUUGAUGACUCACUUUUUCGGAACCACUUCUCCAAGGCCUACAUACGGGUGGAGGAGUAUGAUAGAAGACACAACGAGUCUAGGAGCCGAACCCCAAGUCCAUAUUAUUCAAGAAGCAGAAGUCCAACUCACAGCUACAGCUCUGACAGCAGAAGCAGGUCUCGAUCUAGAUCUGUUUCUUAUCGAUCUAAAUCUGCUUCAAGAUGUGGAUUCCACGGCGUUCUUGUGGAUUCUUGAUGGGAUUUUGGGCGCAAACUUGAUAAGAAAAAGGUAAUUAACUGUGGUUAAGACUGGAUAAGAAGUGGGUGGAUAUGAAUAUUUAUAGCAUAGGGGAAUUAGUUUUGAUGAUAUGGUGAAAGGUGGUGAACUUUGUGUUAUACAAUCGAAGACCAUAUGGAAAAUAUUGUUGUUGAAUGUUUUGGGAUUCUGGAUUUUGUGGCUAAUGAAUUGGUUUUUUUGUUUUUUUUUUCUUUUAUCUUUUAUGGAAAUUUUUGCAGAUCUCCAUCAAGAUCGCCUACACCAUCAUCUACUCAUCGCCAUGGUGGAGAUAGGAGCCCAAGUCGAAGCAGAUCUGGUUCUCGUUCACCAUCGGUGAGAUCUGAUUAGAAGUCAAAAGGUGCAGGAGAAGAUGCUUGAAGAUGAAAUGAUGAUGUGGCGUUAUUUUGUGUUUUUAGUAGCAAAAUUAAAAGAUGUAAACGUAAUUAAACUUUAUGUGGCUUGCUUUGUGUGACGUGUUUUGUAUCAUGACAAUCUACUAUGUUACUAAAAGCAUCUUGUGUAUCAUGAAACCUGAUAAGGCAAUCAAGAUCGGAUUUAAUCGGA